GGGACACGUGGUAUCCUGUCUGAAUAUGGGGGGACCAUCCUCCAAGGCUAAAUACUCCUGACUGACCGAUAGUGAACCAGUACCGUGAGGGAAAGGCGAAAAGAACCCCGGCGAGGGGAGUGAAAAAGAACCUGAAACCGUGUACGUACAAGCAGUGGGAGCCUCUUAAUGGGGUGACUGCGUACCUUUUGUAUAAUGGGUCAGCGACUUAUAUUCUGUAGCAAGGUUAACCGAAUAGGGGAGCCGAAGGGAAACCGAGUCUUAACUGGGCGUUAAGUUGCAGGGUAUAGACCCGAAACCCGGUGAUCUAGCCAUGGGCAGGUUGAAGGUUGGGUAACACUAACUGGAGGACCGAACCGACUAAUGUUGAAAAAUUAGCGGAUGACUUGUGGCUGGGGGUGAAAGGCCAAUCAAACCGGGAGAUAGCUGGUUCUCCCCGAAAGCUAUUUAGGUAGCGCCUCGUGAAUUCAUCUCCGGGGGUAGAGCACUGUUUCGGCAAGGGGGUCAUCCCGACUUACCAACCCGAUGCAAACUGCGAAUACCGGAGAAUGUUAUCACGGGAGACACACGGCGGGUGCUAACGUCCGUCGUGAAGAGGGAAACAACCCAGACCGCCAGCUAAGGUCCCAAAGUCAUGGUUAAGUGGGAAACGAUGUGGGAAGGCCCAGACAGCCAGGAUGUUGGCUUAGAAGCAGCCAUCAUUUAAAGAAAGCGUAAUAGCUCACUGGUCGAGUCGGCCUGCGCGGAAGAUGUAACGGGGCUAAACCAUGCACCGAAGCUGCGGCAGCGACACUAUGUGUUGUUGGGUAGGGGAGCGUUCUGUAAGCCUGUGAAGGUGUACUGUGAGGUAUGCUGGAGGUAUCAGAAGUGCGAAUGCUGACAUAAGUAACGAUAAAGCGGGUGAAAAGCCCGCUCGCCGGAAGACCAAGGGUUCCUGUCCAACGUUAAUCGGGGCAGGGUGAGUCGACCCCUAAGGCGAGGCCGAAAGGCGUAGUCGAUGGGAAACAGGUUAAUAUUCCUGUACUUGGUGUUACUGCGAAGGGGGGACGGAGAAGGCUAUGUUGGCCGGGCGACGGUUGUCCCGGUUUAAGCGUGUAGGCUGGUUUUCCAGGCAAAUCCGGAAAAUCAAGGCUGAGGCGUGAUGACGAGGCACUACGGUGCUGAAGCGACAAAUGCCCUGCUUCCAGGAAAAGCCUCUAAGCAUCAGGUAACAUCAAAUCGUACCCCAAACCGACACAGGUGGUCAGGUAGAGAAUACCAAGGCGCUUGAGAGAACUCGGGUGAAGGAACUAGGCAAAAUGGUGCCGUAACUUCGGGAGAAGGCACGCUGAUAUGUAGGUGAAGCGACUUGCUCGUGGAGCUGAAAUCAGUCGAAGAUACCAGCUGGCUGCAACUGUUUAUUAAAAACACAGCACUGUGCAAACACGAAAGUGGACGUAUACGGUGUGACGCCUGCCCGGUGCCGGAAGGUUAAUUGAUGGGGUUAGCGGUAACGCGAAGCUCUUGAUCGAAGCCCCGGUAAACGGCGGCCGUAACUAUAACGGUCCUAAGGUAGCGAAAUUCCUUGUCGGGUAAGUUCCGACCUGCACGAAUGGCGUAAUGAUGGCCAGGCUGUCUCCACCCGAGACUCAGUGAAAUUGAACUCGCUGUGAAGAUGCAGUGUACCCGCGGCAAGACGGAAAGACCCCGUGAACCUUUACUAUAGCUUGACACUGAACAUUGAGCCUUGAUGUGUAGGAUAGGUGGGAGGCUUUGAAGUGUGGACGCCAGUCUGCAUGGAGCCGACCUUGAAAUACCACCCUUUAAUGUUUGAUGUUCUAACGUGGGCCCCUUACCGGGGUUGCGGACAGUGUCUGGUGGGUAGUUUGACUGGGGCGGUCUCCUCCUAAAGAGUAACGGAGGAGCACGAAGGUUGGCUAAUCCUGGUCGGACAUCAGGAGGUUAGUGCAAUGGCAUAAGCCAGCUUGACUGCGAGCGUGACGGCGCGAGCAGGUGCGAAAGCAGGUCAUAGUGAUCCGGUGGUUCUGAAUGGAAGGGCCAUCGCUCAACGGAUAAAAGGUACUCCGGGGAUAACAGGCUGAUACCGCCCAAGAGUUCAUAUCGACGGCGGUGUUUGGCACCUCGAUGUCGGCUCAUCACAUCCUGGGGCUGAAGUAGGUCCCAAGGGUAUGGCUGUUCGCCAUUUAAAGUGGUACGCGAGCUGGGUUUAGAACGUCGUGAGACAGUUCGGUCCCUAUCUGCCGUG
rnacentral:rRNA from 1 species